CGGGAUAACCCGGAGAAAUCCGGCCUAAUACCGCAUGUGGCCGAGGGGAGGCAUCUUCUUUCGGCCAAAGGAGGCGACUCCGGAGACGGAUGGGCAUGCGUGACAUUAGCUUGUUGGCGGGGUAACGGCCCACCAAGGCGACGAUGUCUAGGGGUUCUGAGAGGAAGGUCCCCCACACUGGUACUGAGACACGGACCAGACUCCUACGGGAGGCAGCAGUGAGGAAUAUUGGUCAAUGGGCGAGAGCCUGAACCAGCCAAGUCGCGUGAAGGAUGACGGCCCUACGGGUUGUAAACUUCUUUUGUCAGGGAGCAAUUGAGUCCACGUGUGGGCUUAGCGAGAGUACCUGAAGAAAAAGCAUCGGCUAACUCCGUGCCAGCAGCCGCGGUAAUACGGAGGAUGCGAGCGUUAUCCGGAUUUAUUGGGUUUAAAGGGUGCGUAGGCGGAAUAUCAAGUCAGCGGUAAAAAUUCGGGGCUCAACCCCGUCGUGCCGUUGAAACUGAUGUUCUUGAGUGGGCGAGAAGUAUGCGGAAUGCGUGGUGUAGCGGUGAAAUGCAUAGAUAUCACGCAGAACUCCGAUUGCGAAGGCAGCAUACCGGCGCCCAACUGACGCUGAAGCACGAAAGCGUGGGUAUCGAACAGGAUUAGAUACCCUGGUAGUCCACGCAGUAAACGAUGAA
rnacentral:rRNA from 1 species